rnacentral:rRNA from 1 species
AGAGGCCUACGGGGCGCAGCAGUGGGGAAUAUUGGGCAAUGGGCGCAAGCCUGACCCAGCAACGCCGCGUGAAGGAAGAAGGCUUUCGGGUUGUAAACUUCUUUUAAGAGGGAAGAGUAGAAGACGGUACCUCUUGAAUAAGCCACGGCUAACUACGUGCCAGCAGCCGCGGUAAUACGUAGGUGGCAAGCGUUGUCCGGAUUUACUGGGUGUAAAGGGCGGGUAGCCGGGGUGACAAGUCAGCUGUGAAAUCCUGCGGCUUAACCGCAGAACUGCAUUUGAAACUGGUGAUCUUGAGUACUGGA